rnacentral:rRNA from 1 species
AGUAAUCGUAGAUCAGCAUGCUACGGUGAAUACGUUCCCGGGUCUUGUACACACCGCCCGUCACACCACGAGAGUUUGUAACACCCGAAGCCGGUGGAGUAACCUUUUAGGAGCUAGCCGUCGAAGGCGGGACAAAUGAUUGGGGUGAAGUCGUAACAAGGUAGCCGUAUCGGAAGGUGCGGCUGGAUCACCUCCUUUCUAAGGA